UUGGUGCAAAGGUCGAAAGACGAGGUUGUAUAAAAUUGAAUUGCUUUAUUUCCUGCCUCACCUGGACGAUGAUAGACAAUGAUUAACUAUUUCACUUUGACCAACCUUCUUAUUGCAGUAAAACAUUGAACGUCAUUGUUUUCACUCAUGCAGACACACACACACCGGCUUUGCUGAGGUAAAGGACACUUGAAGCUUCUCUUUCUACUCUUACCCUACGUUGUAUAGCCGCGUAUGGUCCAGUCAAGUACACACUGCAGCAACAAUACGUUUCACGUUUUGUGAAAUACUGAGAUGGGCUGAUUGGAAGUGCUCACCUGAAACUUCCUGUUUGACAUUGUCAGUUUGGACAACAAGGAAGCAGAAGCAGGCGGCUGGACUCCCCCAGCUCCAUCAUGAACGACCGACUGAUCGACUCUGAGGUAGAUUUUGCUUUUUCCAACGAAACAUUUUGGCUUUUUCUUUGUUCAGUUCUCUAUCAUAUGGUGUCAAAGACACAUUCUUCUGUCCUAUAUUUCUUUGCUUCACGUAGUAGCUGAACUUUUGUAAGAUUUAAAAAGUAGCCUACUGUGUUGUGGUGAGCCACUAAACAUUCUUUUCAGAACACAGGCUACUAUUGUUAAAUGAUUUAUUUUCAUGUUGCAUUACAUUUGCUUAGACCACCCACAACCGACCAACUGUUCCCUCAUGUAAAGUUUUCCGUGACUGUGAACAUCAAAAGUGCUGCAUGUUUUCCUCCAGUCCAGUCAAAGGUCCUGACUCAAUGCUGUAACACCAGAGCUUCUAACCCCUCGUGUGUUUUGACACAGAUGUUUUGAGCUGGCGUGAUGGACAUCUGUGGAUCUACGUGACUGUUGGAUCACGAGCACCUGCAUGAUGAUAUACCUGGUUCGCACUGCCCACUGGCAGUUCCUGGCCCUGGUGCUGGGCUGUGUGGCCUGGAUCCUCACCCUGGCCACUGCCGGCUUAAAUGAGUGGCGUCUGUGGAGCGUCCCUGACCAACCCAUGAUCACCUCGGGCGUGGCCUGGGUGGGCAUCUGGAGGGCAUGCUUCUCCAGCCAUGCUUACUCCAAGCCAGAGAACUGCUGGACCAUCCACAUAUCGGACCAGUUUUUGCCUCCUGAGAUCCCUGUGGCUCAGGUUCUGAUGAUGCUGGCGGUCAUCUGUGGACUGGCAGGGAACGUCUGCGGAUCCAUGUCUGUGAGGAUGGCCUACUUCUCUGUGGAGGAUCGAAGGAACAUCAGACUGGUGUUUGUGUUGGCGGGCGGCCUCUACAUCCUCACCGGCACUCUCACUCUGGUGCCGGUGGUGUGGAACCUCAACUCAGUGCUCACGAACAGAACCAUAGACUUCCCACCAGAGUUCUGCCUACCUAAAGCCCCAGCCCAUCAGCAAGUGGGCUCUGCCAUCGGAGUGGGCCUCCUGGCCUCCAUACUGAUGCUCUGCUGUGGGCUGACUUUUCUGUGCUACAAGCACGUCUGGGUGGACCUGAAACCUCAGCAGAGGAGAGGCAUGAUGGGACUGGACAAUCCAACCUUCAUAGAGGAGCCCACACGUACGACUGUGAUAAGCAGGGAAGGACCAACAGAGAUCUGAGGAGAUGUGGGGACGUCUGUUCCACCCUCCUGAAGGUUCUGCUUUCAUAAUGUGGACAGUAAAUACUGUGAUCUGAACCAUGAUACAUUAGAGGUGGACACAGCCAGAUUGAUCUAUCGUUCUACUGUCAUCGCUGUAUCAACGGACUUAAACCCUCAGCAUCGUUUGUCAUCAUUUGGCGCUGGCCUUACUGGAAGUGUGACGUUACAAACAUGUCCCCAGAUGUUGAGGAAGAGGAGGAAAUAUUUCACGGUUGAAGAAUUUCAUGUCAAUGCAGUUAAAGUGUCGACAAUUACUCAAAUAAAUGUCAAGAUUGAAGUCAGGUGUGAAUUUAAAAUUGGGCAUUCUUGUCAGUUACGCUGUAAACUCUCAUUGUUCAAGCGAGGAAGAAGUAAAAUAUAUAUAAAAAUAACCUUUCACUUUUACUCAAACUUUGGUCCAGUGCUAAGUCUCAGUAGCACAGUAUGGUUGGCCGCACACUAAGAGCCACAUGUCAGGGUGUUUUUCUCUGGGUGGCAGAUGAAGAUCCCUCAGCCAGCGCUGUGACGGAGCAGCACUGGCCGCCGGUCCGAGGUGUGGGCCUGGAACAUGUGAGGAGGGAUCUCAGCGGGUCAGGUUGACUGGGAGCACCGCUCAUGUGACCUGGGUAGGAGGCUGAGCGGGAGCAAGCAUGUGAGUAUGAAGACGUGAUUGUUGCCAGGAAAGUCUCACACACACACACACACACACACACGCACGCACGGCACCUCAGUGGGGGCGACUAGCGGCUGGGAAACAAAAGACCCUCUUGAGGCGAGUCCGAACAGUGGAUGAAGGGUCACACCUGCUCCGAACACUGAAGGAAGGUGCUGAGGUGAAGAAUAGUUGCUGACACGCCAUGUUUACACAGACAUGGGCUCCAAAUGAGUUUUACUGACAUUCCUUCAGAUAAGAGUCGGGAAUAAACAAUCCUUUAAAUAAUUUCCUGUAGCUCCCUCCCACUAGAGUCUCUGGGGGAAGGCCAUACAUAAUGUCCUUCUAUCUAAUCUGAGAUGCGCUGCAAUGACCUUUAUCUCUUAUUGUGGAGAAACGUCAAAUAAAAGAAGGUAAUCAUUGCCUCAUAGGAUCAUAAAAUCCUAAUUAUUUUUUAGAUCAAUCCAACAACUCUAAAAAAAGACAAGUCUCUGAAA